GAUCAUGGCUCAGGACGAACGCUGGCGGCGCGCCUAACACAUGCAAGUCGAACGAGAGAGAGGGAGCUUGCUUCCUCAAUCGAGUGGCGAACGGGUGAGUAACGCGUGAGGAACCUGCCUCAAAGAGGGGGACAACAGUUGGAAACGGCUGCUAAUACCGCAUAAGCCCACAGCUCGGCAUCGAGCAGAGGGAAAAGGAGCAAAUCCGCUUUGAGAUGGCCUCGCGUCCGAUUAG
rnacentral:rRNA from 1 species